AAUUGCUAGUAAUGGCAGGUCAGCAUACUGCCGUGAAUACGUUCCCGGGCCUUGUACACACCGCCCGUCACACCAUGAGAGUUGGGGAUACCCGAAGCCUGUGAGCCAACUUUUAGAGGCAGCAGUCGAAGGUAGAAUCAAUGAUUGGGGUGAAGUCGUAACAAGGUAAC
rnacentral:rRNA from 1 species